CGCGCGGCCAACGCCCGCAGCCCUAGGCAGGGGGGAUUUAAGAGACACUAGGGGUGAUCUGGGAUGCGCGCCUCCUCCUGGUGGAAAUUAACGAGGAAAGUGCUGGGAAAGGUACCAGGAGUUAAAACUCCAACAUCUCUUUUUAGGGAAGAAAAUUCAACCUCCAACAAUCUCCAAGAUAAAUGAGGUGAAAAAAGCAAUAUGCAGGACUGAAAACAGCGAACUGAAAGAGCUGAAAGCGAUGUCUUCUGGGGAGAAGAAAUUAAGAAUGAAAACAGAAUAUUCAGGA